rnacentral:lncRNA from 1 species
UUUUCUGUAGCGCGGAGACAGAGUGAAUCCAUGGGUCCAAUAAAGAGUUAAACAGAGAACGGGCAAAACGAGGGCCACCAUUAAGCAGCGACAAUAAAACGCGAGAAUGACCAGAAGUACUUUCGAACUCUGCGGCAGCUUACCCCACUGCCAGGCUCCACCUCCCCGCUGUGGAGCGGACCCCGCUGGUCCCCGAACCCCCACUUACCGUGAGCUCACCGAGCUGCGCCGGCCUGCGGGCGAGAACAGCACGGGCGAGUUAACCGCAGAUCCCAGAGACAGACCCCUCCUGCUCGCUCUAGGCGUGGACGUGGGCCCGAUCCCGACUAGCGGACCGCGUCGGGUCCCCGGCCCUGGGGUUCGCGGAGAGGAGACGCUCGGAAACAUGUUUGCAGAGAGCGUGGAGGAAGCGGCACUCGCGGGCUAAUAGCGAGAACCUCGCGCGCCCGGAGCUUGAACACCUGAGGGGCGGGAAGGCGCCUAGAGAUGACGUAAGGGGGCGCUCAGCGAGUAGGGAGGGGAAGGCGCAUGGCAAUGACGUCAAAGAUCGGCGCCGAGACUCGGGGCAAGGUCGGAACUGGGAGCGCUUUGUUGACGUCACAUCCAGUACCGGGGAGGGGCGGGGCAGGCGAUUUGGAGUCCUGCGACCCGAUUCACCGCGGUGGAUCCAGUGCUCCGGACCGAGAGCUUGCCAGAAGCGCCGGUCUCCGGCUGGAGCUGACCCUCCGCGGCGAGCGUGGGCUGGGGAAGGAGGCGCCCGUGGGCGGAGCUGAGGAAGUCGCGCUCUGGGCGGCGGUGUCUGAUCUGCAACAACUCCGAGUUCUGAGGACACCCUGCAAGGAGCUGAGCAGAUGUGGACAGUGGAAGGUGACCGUCACAGGUGUGCUGCCUACUCACCCCAAGACCUGCACACACAUCCAUGGGGCCUCAUGCUCAUUACCCGGUUCCCCAGGUAACAUAAGUGGUGACACUGCUUCUCAUCAAGAGGCACGGCAGGUGUGUCCAUUUAACUACCUCUCAGCGUAG